GGCCAGACUCCUACGGGAGGCAGCAGUGGGGAAUAUUGCACAAUGGGGGAAACCCUGAUGCAGCGACGCCGCGUGAGCGAAGAAGUAUUUCGGUAUGUAAAGCUCUAUCAGCAGGGAAGAAAAUGACGGUACCUGAGUAAGAAGCUCCGGCUAAAUACGUGCCAGCAGCCGCGGUAAUACGUAUGGAGCAAGCGUUAUCCGGAUUUACUGGGUGUAAAGGGAGCGCAGGCGGUCUGGCAAGUCUGAUGUGAAAUACUGGGGCUCAACUCCGGGACUGCAUUGGAAACUGUCAGACUGGAGUGUCGGAGAGGCAGGCGGAAUUCCUGGUGUAGCGGUGAAAUGCGUAGAUAUCAGGAGGAACACCAGUGGCGAAGGCGGCCUGCUGGACGAUGACUGACGCUGAGGCUCGAAAGCGUGGGGAGCAAACAGGAUUAGAUACCCCGGUA
rnacentral:rRNA from 1 species